UUUUUCCUUUGUUUUUAUCUUGUAACAUAUUUGACCAAUCAAUUUUCUUUGUUUUUUAAAGUCUGUACAUGCAUCAUAUAAUCAAAUCAGGCCUAAUCGCAUCUCAAAAAUAUAAAUGUUAUAUAUAUUGGCACGAAUUGGAUGCACAGAUUUCCAUUUAUUUGUUUCUCUCUUUUUUUUCAUCAAAAUUCUAAAAUUCUGAAAAAGAUUUUGGAGAUCCUUUAUUCCAGAAAUCUUAGUACAUGCCUUGACAUAGCAAAGUUUCCAAGUUGAUGGGUGUUUACGGGUAACACCAAUUAUUAACACAUCAUAUAGCUUAUUUUUCUGGAGAAAUCUCAUUUUGUGACUACCGAGGAUAUACUCCAGUAAUUGAUGCUUCAUCGACAGACAAUUGCGCUGACUUGCUAGCAGAUUGAUCUGACUCUAACCCUUUCAAUGUGUUGUUCUGCCCUGAUCUAGUCCAGGAACAAAAUGCAGGUUUUUGAGGUGCUGGUAGAGUAACAGAAUAAGUGCUGAGCAUGAGAACUACUGUUGCCAUUGUUGGUCUAUCAGCUGGAUCUUCCUGAACACAUAACAACCCUAUUUGUGUGCAUCUCAAGAAUUCAUUUGUUGAACAUGAACCUUUCAAAGUUGGAUCUAACACUUCCGAAGGUGUCUCAUUUCUCCAAUGAUUCCAAACCUGCAAAAGUUCCAAGUAAUUAUGUUCCAUGUAGUUGCAGCUCUAAUUAGGAUUAUGCAUCUCCUGGUGAUGAUGAGGAGACAUUGGAUACAAGUUAUGAGAGGAAAACUCUACACUUACAUAGCUCACAAGGUCUUCAGCACCAUCUGUUUGACAGAAAGAACUAUUCUUCCUUCCACUUAUAAUUUCUAGAACCAAGACACCAAAGCUGUACAUAUCAGACUUGACCGAGAACUGCCCAUGCAUUGCAUAUUCCGGAGCCAUAUAUCCACUGGAAGGGAAACCAGUAACAAAUACACAACAAAAUUUCUUUAAUUAACCUUGCAAGAACUAUCCAAACUCAGCAGUUUUCCUUAAUGUCACAGUAAACAGAGCAUCUCUGAUAACACAUAAAAUUAAAGCACACAUUUAUGAUCUGUAGAAGCUAACCUUGAAUUCUCUAGAUUGAAGUAUGAAAACACAAGCGUGAGUAUGAUCCUUUCUUUCUUUUCAUUUCUAUAUUUUGGUUCAACAAUUAGUUAAUUCUACUUGUACUUGUCCCAACAAUUAGUAAUCAGAUCAAAUAUGAAAACUGCAAACUUAUUAUUUUCUAAUAAUUAGCCCAGUCCAAGGGCAGAUUCUGGUCCGUAGAACGGAGGGUUAGAGACAGGACAGCAGGGUUCCUUCUAGUUUCAAUUUGGGUUCAAUACGGUUUGAGUCAAUCUAACAACUUAAAUUUUGUAAAAACAUUAAUUUGAACCAUAUCGAUUUGGACCUGUGGAGCUUCAGUCCGGUUCCAGUUUCGAACCAGACGGUCGCCGAGUUGGCCAAAAUUAGCACGUGUGCAUUUGCUUUUCUUCAUUUUUUAAAUACAGUUUAUGCAAUACAGAGAUAAGUACGAAACUUACAAUGUCCCAAUGACUCUAUCUGUUUUGUCUUGGCUUUGAUCAACACCAAAAAUCCUUGCCAUGCCAAAAUCUGAUAUUUUGGGGUUCAUUUCCUCAUCUAGCAGAACAUUAUUAGCUUUGAGAUCACGGUGUAUGACUUUAAGUCUAGAAUCCUCAUGAAGAUAUUGAAUCCCUCGAGCUAUUCCUUCAAUUAUCAUGUAACGUCUUGACCAAUCCAACUUUCUUUGUUUUUCAGAGUCAAAUAUAAAGUAGUCAAGGCUCUUGUUGGGGAAAAAUUCAUAAAUGAGUAUCUUCUCUUCCCCUUCAAAGCAAAAUCCUAAUAGCCUCACUAGAUUUCUGUGUUGAAGCUUAGCUAAAGUAGCAGCCUCAUUCUUAAAUUCCUUUGCACCCUGUCCGGAGCUUGUUAUUGAUAAUCUCUUCACAGCGAUCUCUUGUCCAUUGGGCAGUAUACCCUUAUAAACCUUUCCAUAUCCACCUUCACCUAACUUGUUAU
rnacentral:misc_RNA from 1 species